UUAAGCGACUAAGCGUACACGGUGGAUGCCCUGGCAGUCAGAGGCGAUGAAGGACGUGCUAAUCUGCGAAAAGCGUCGGUAAGGUGAUAUGAACCGUUAUAGCCGGCGAUGUCCGAAUGGGGAAACCCAGUGUGAUUCGUCACACUAUCGUUAACUGAAUACAUAGGUUAACGAGGCGAACCGGGGGAACUGAAACAUCUAAGUACCCCGAGGAAAAGAAAUCAACCGAGAUUCCCCCAGUAGCGGCGAGCGAACGGGGAGCAGCCCAGAGUCUGAAUCAGCUUGUGUGUUAGUGGAACGGUCUGGAAAGUCCGACGGUACAGGGUGAUAGUCCCGUACACCAAAAUGCACAGGUUGUGAACUCGAAGAGUAGGGCGGGACACGUGGUAUCCUGUCUGAAUAUGGGGGGACCAUCCUCCAAGGCUAAAUACUCCUGACUGACCGAUAGUGAACCAGUACCGUGAGGGAAAGGCGAAAAGAACCCCGGCGAGGGGAGUGAAAAAGAACCUGAAACCGUGUACGUACAAGCAGUGGGAGCACCUUCGGGUGUGACUGCGUACCUUUUGUAUAAUGGGUCAGCGACUUAUAUUCUGUAGCAAGGUUAACCGUAUAGGGGAGCCGCAGGGAAACCGAGUCUUAACUGGGCGUUAAGUUGCAGGGUAUAGACCCGAAACCCGGUGAUCUAGCCAUGGGCAGGUUGAAGGUUGGGUAACACUAACUGGAGGACCGAACCGACUAAUGUUGAAAAAUUAGCGGAUGACUUGUGGCUGGGGGUGAAAGGCCAAUCAAACCGGGAGAUAGCUGGUUCUCCCCCGAAAGCUAUUUAGGUAGCGCCUCGUGAAUUCAUCUUCGGGGUAGAGCACUGUUUCGGCUAGGGGGUCAUCCCGACUUACCAACCCGAUGCAAACUACGAAUACCGAAGAAUGUUAUCACGGGAGACACACGGCGGGUGCUAACGUCCGUCGUGAAGAGGGAAACAACCCAGACCGCCAGCUAAGGUCCCAAAGUCAUGGUUAAGUGGGAAACGAUGUGGGAAGGCACAGACAGCCAGGAUGUUGGCUUAGAAGCAGCCAUCAUUUAAAGAAAGCGUAAUAGCUCACUGGUCGAGUCGGCCUGCGCGGAAGAUGUAACGGGGCUAAACCAUGCACCGAAGCUGCGGCAGCGACACUAUGUGUUGUUGGGUAGGGGAGCGUUCUGUAAGCCUGCGAAGGUGGCCUGUGAGGGUUGCUGGAGGUAUCAGAAGUGCGAAUGCUGACAUAAGUAACGAUAAAGCGGGUGAAAAGCCCGCUCGCCGGAAGACCAAGGGUUCCUGUCCAACGUUAAUCGGGGCAGGGUGAGUCGACCCCUAAGGCGAGGCCGAAAGGCGUAGUCGAUGGGAAACAGGUUAAUAUUCCUGUACUUGGUGUUACUGCGAAGGGGGGACGGAGAAGGCUAUGUUAGCCGGGCGACGGUUGUCCCGGUUUAAGCAUGUAGGCUGGUUAUCCAGGCAAAUCCGGAUAAUCAAGGCUGAGGUGUGAUGACGAGGCACUACGGUGCUGAAGUAACAAAUGCCCUGCUUCCAGGAAAAGCCUCUAAGCAUCAGGUAACAUUAAAUCGUACCCCAAACCGACACAGGUGGUCAGGUAGAGAAUACCAAGGCGCUUGAGAGAACUCGGGUGAAGGAACUAGGCAAAAUGGUGCCGUAACUUCGGGAGAAGGCACGCUGGUGUGUAGGUGAAGUCCCUGCGGAUGGAGCUGAGACCAGUCGAAGAUACCAGCUGGCUGCAACUGUUUAUUAAAAACACAGCACUGUGCAAACACGAAAGUGGACGUAUACGGUGUGACGCCUGCCCGGUGCCGGAAGGUUAAUUGAUGGGUUAUCCGUAAGGAGAAGCUCUUGAUCGAAGCCCCGGUAAACGGCGGCCGUAACUAUAACGGUCCUAAGGUAGCGAAAUUCCUUGUCGGGUAAGUUCCGACCUGCACGAAUGGCGUAAUGAUGGCCAGGCUGUCUCCACCCGAGACUCAGUGAAAUUGAACUCGCUGUGAAGAUGCAGUGUACCCGCGGCAAGACGGAAAGACCCCGUGAACCUUUACUAUAGCUUGACACUGAACAUUGAGCCUUGAUGUGUAGGAUAGGUGGGAGGCUUUGAAGCGUGGACGCCAGUCUGCGUGGAGCCAACCUUGAAAUACCACCCUUUAAUGUUUGAUGUUCUAACGUUGGCCCCUGACCGGGGUUGCGGACAGUGUCUGGUGGGUAGUUUGACUGGGGCGGUCUCCUCCCAAAGCGUAACGGAGGAGCACGAAGGUUAGCUAAUCCUGGUCGGACAUCAGGAGGUUAGUGCAAUGGCAUAAGCUAGCUUGACUGCGAGCGUGACGGCGCGAGCAGGUGCGAAAGCAGGUCAUAGUGAUCCGGUGGUUCUGAAUGGAAGGGCCAUCGCUCAACGGAUAAAAGGUACUCCGGGGAUAACAGGCUGAUACCGCCCAAGAGUUCAUAUCGACGGCGGUGUUUGGCACCUCGAUGUCGGCUCAUCACAUCCUGGGGCUGAAGUAGGUCCCAAGGGUAUGGCUGUUCGCCAUUUAAAGUGGUACGCGAGCUGGGUUUAGAACGUCGUGAGACAGUUCGGUCCCUAUCUGCCGUGGGCGCUGGAGAAUUGAGGGGGGCUGCUCCUAGUACGAGAGGACCGGAGUGGACGCAUCACUGGUGUUCGGGUUGUCAUGCCAAUGGCACUGCCCGGUAGCUAAAUGCGGAAGAGAUAAGUGCUGAAAGCAUCUAAGCACGAAACUUGCCCCGAGAUGAGUUCUCCCUGAGACUUUAAGUCUCCUGAAGGAACGUUGAAGACGACGACGUUGAUAGGCCGGGUGUGUAAGCGCAGCGAUGCGUUGAGCUAACCGGUACUAAUGAACCGUGAGGCUUAACCUU
rnacentral:rRNA from 1 species